rfam:Triticum urartu cultivar G1812 contig537418, whole genome shotgun sequence.
CAAGUACUCCCUCCGUCCGGAAUUACUUGUCAUCAAAAUGGAUGUGUCUAGAACUAAAAUACAUCUAGAUACAUCCAUUUCAAUGACAAGUAUUUUCGGACAGACGGAGUACAAG